AUACCGUCGCCGCUUCAGUCUUUUAGAGAAGAAGUGGAAGGCGCAGUGAUAUGCUUUCAUAUCUCAAUUGUUUACCAGCUAUUCAAAAGAUUUGGAACUAAAGCGGCCGAAAUGUCAGGA